UAUCUCUGUAGAGUCUGCAUAUCAAUAAGCGGAGGAAAAGAAACUAACAAGGAUUCCCCUAGUAACGGCGAGUGAAGCGGGAAGAGCUCAAAUUCGAAAUCUCCAAGGUUUGACCUUGACGAAUUGUAGUUUAAAGAAGUGUUUUCGGUUAGAGGAGUAGUAAAAGUUCUUUGGAAUAGGACAUCAUAGAGGGUGAGAAUCCCGUAUUUGACUAUUCUUUCUAGCUUUGUGAUACACUUUCAAAGAGUCGGAUUGUUUGGGAAUGCAGUCCAAAAUGGGUGGUAAAUUUCAUCUAAAGCUAAAUAUUGGCGAGAGACCGAUAGCGAACAAGUACCGUGAGGGAAAGAUGAAAAGAACUUUGAAAAGAGAGUUAAACAGUACGUGAAAUUGUCAAAAGGGAAGCGUUUGACACCAGUGUUGUUUUUCCGAAAAUCAAUUAAAAAUUGAUUCAUGCCAGGUUGUAUUGACCUUAUCAGCUUGCAAUUUGGUUUUGGGUCUCUUUUUGAUGCACUUUUCGGUUAACAAGUCAACAUCAAUUUCCUUUGCUGUAAAAAGGUAAGAGGAAGGUGGCUUCAAUUUCGGUUGAAGUGUUUAUAGCCUUUUAUCUCUGCAGUCGGGGAGAUUGAGGUCUGCAGCGUAGAUCCUUCGGGGCUAGAUACAUUUAUGCUAAGUUAUAGCUUUUCAUAGACAACUUGUUGACUAUGUUUAGUCAUGUAGCUUACUCGUAAGUGCUAUUUUACCUACGCUUAGGAUGUUGAAGACUCUACAGAGAUA
rnacentral:rRNA from 1 species